rnacentral:rRNA from 1 species
AUUGAACGCUGGCGGCAGGCCUAACACAUGCAAGUCGAACGAGGGGCGGACGGGUGAGUAAUGUCUGGGAAAAUGCCUGAGGGAGGGGGAUAACUACUGGAAACGGUAGCUAAUACCGCAGACCCACAGAUGUGCCCAGAUGGGAUUAGCUUGUUGGUGGGGUAACGGCUCACCAAGGAGACGAUCCCUAGCGGGUCUGAGAGGAUGACCAGCCACACUGGAACUGAGACCCGGUCCCGACUCCGACGGGAGGCAGCAGUGGGGAAUAUUGCACAAUGGGCGCAAGCCGGAUGCAGCCAUGCCGCGUGUAUGAAGAAGGCCUUCGGGUUGUAAAGUACUUUCAGCGGGGAGGCGUUACCCGCAGAAGAAGCCCCGGCUAACUCCGUGCCAGCAGCCGCGGUAAUUC